rnacentral:rRNA from 1 species
UAAGCCAUGCGAGUCGAGAGGUGCAAGACCUCGGCAUACUGCUCAGUAACACGUGGACAACCUACCCUAUGGAGAGGGAUAACCCCCGGGAAACUGGGGAUAAUACCCCAUAGACUAUGGAUGCUGGAAUGCUCUGUAGCCAAAAGGUCAGCCGCCAUAGGAUGGGUCUGCGGCCGAUUAGGUUGUUGUUGGGGUAACGGCCCAACAAGCCUGUAAUCGGUACGGGUUGUGGGAGCAAGAGCCCGGAGAUGGAUUUUGAGACACGAAUCCAGGCCCUACGGGGCGCAGCAGGCGCGAAAACUUUACAAUGCGGGAAACCGUGAUAAGGGAACUCCGAGUGCCCGUUAAAUCGGGCUGUCCAUCCGUGUAAAUAACAGGUGAAGAAAGGGCCGGGCAAGACCGGUGCCAGCCGCCGCGGUAAUACCGGCGGCUCGAGUGGUGGCCACUAUUACUGGGCUUAAAGCGUUCGUAGCUGGUUUGUUAAGUCUCUGGGGAAAUCUUCCGGCUUAACCGGAAGGCGUCUCAGGGAUACUGGCAGACUAGGGACCGGAAGAGGUGAGGGGUACUCCAGGGGUAGGAGUGAAAUCCUGUAAUCCUUGGGGGACCACCUGUGGCGAAGGCGCCUCACCAGAACGGCUCCGACAGUGAGGGACGAAAGCUGGGGGAGCAAACCGGAUUAGAUACCCGGGUAGUCCCAGCCGUAAACGAUGUGCGUUAGGUGUAUCGGUGACCACGAGUCACCGAGGUGCCGAAGAGAAAUCGUGAAACGUACCGCCUGGGAAGUACGGUCGCAAGGCUGAAACUUAAAGGAAUUGGCGGGGGAGCACCACAACAGGUGGAGCCUGCGGUUUAAUCGGACUCAACGCCGGAAAACUCACCAGAUAAGACAGCUGAAUGAUAGUCGGGCUGAAGACUCUACUUGACUAGCUGAGAGGAGGUGCAUGGCCGUCGUCAGUUCGUACUGUGAAGCAUCCUGUUAAGUCAGGCAACGAGCGAGACCC